AACUAAUGAGCUUGAAUAAGCUUAUAUUUUGAAAAUAUAAGAAAGAAAACCAAUUUCUAUUAGUUUAGGUAACAAAAUUUU
rnacentral:tRNA from 1 species